CCUACGGGCGGCAGCAGUGGGGAAUAUUGCGCAAUGGGCGAAAGCCUGACGCAGCGACGCCGCGUGAGGGAUGAAGGUCUUCGGAUCGUAAACCUCUGUCAGCAGGGAAGAACGGUCACUGUGCUAAUCAGCAGUGAAUUGACGGUACCUGCAAAGGAAGCACCGGCUAACUCCGUGCCAGCAGACGCGGUAAUACGGAGGGUGCGAGCGUUAAUCGGAAUUACUGGGAGUAAAGCGCUCGUAGGCGGUAUGUCAAGUCAAGGGUGAAAUCCCCGCGCUCAACGUGGGAACGGCCUUUGAAACUGGCAAACUUGAGUGUGUUAGAGGAUAGUGGAAUUCCAGGUGUAGGCGUGAAAUCCGUAGAUAUCUGGAGGAACAUCAGUGGCGAAGGCGACUAUCUGGCACAUAACUGACGCUGAGGAGCGAAAGCGUGGGUAGCAAACAGGAUUAGAUACCCGGGUAGUC
rnacentral:rRNA from 1 species